CAACUCAUUUUCUUUUUUUUUUUUUGGGUCUCUAGAGACCUGCCGCUUCAUGGACAAAGUUGUACUCCUUAAUUGGAAGUGAUGAAAAGAUCACCAGAAAUUGUCGGUCCUCACCCAGGAAGGCCAAAAUCAUUUCAUCUCUCAGGACACAUGGAAACCAGCCGUACCCUGCCGAGUGUCAUCAGAACAGAGGAAGCCGAAGAGGCCUGUGCUCACUCCGGGUCGAGUCCAAGCGUACCUUCCUGCUCAAGGAUUGAAUGAUCCAGACCCACUGAAGUUGGAAACGCGGACCCUCCGGGAGCCUUAACGCAAUUUAAAAGCCUUGCCGGAAGCAGGACAAUUGCUGAAAUGUUCAAAUUUAUCCAUCUGGGGGCUGUGUGGAAAGACUUCCUGAAAACAAAUCAGGAGAUUUGUCUGCGUUUGGAAAGACCCCAGGUCGCUAUUCCAAUACUGCCCAACUCAGUCGUUGGCAUUUCUCUGGCUGUAAACUAUUACAGUCACUUUGAUGGCUUGUGUUAAAGAAAUGUAUUUCCUGCAGUGGGUGGCAUUUAAAUUUCUUUUGUCUGUAAAGAAACUCUCACUUUAUGCAGAGUAUGUUGUGCUUCUUCCUCCCAAGUCACAGGUAAUGAUUAUUAAUGGAGACCAUGUCAUUCUCCCUGGUUGACCUGCUAAACAAAAGAAUAAAAAUCUAAAGGAAACAGAAUUAAUAACUCUAUCUCAAUGCAUCCCACAGAUAAGCUGGUAGUUGAAGGGUCAGAUGCGCAUACUUAGAUUGUUAACUAGCUUUUCUGUAAUGAAAAAGCAACCCUUAUCUAUAAGCUUAUGAAUAAUGUGUGUCAUAAAAACAGUAGAUUUGAUUAUCUUAGUUUCAGAUUCAUGGGAAACUUUUCCACGACAAUGACAAUCAUGCAAUAUUAAUCACAAAUUUGAGAAUCUAUUAGGAGUAAAUUUCACCACCUUCCUCAGGUAGAUCCUUAUUUAUCAUUUCAGAGGAAGUGAAUGAAAUAUUUUUGAAGACAAGAACUUCACGGUGCAUAUUGCAUUUUGUGUCAAAUCUAUAUCAUUUUAUCCCAAAGAAUGAAUCGAGAAGACAUAGAAUGCAUUGUAAAUACAGUUCUUAUUUGCCCUCCACUAUUGCUCCUAUUGAUAUUUAUUGUUAAUUUUAUUAAUUUUGUACAUAGGACGAUGGUGUUAGACUCAAUUUAGUUAGAAAAAUUAGCAGAAAUUUUUUUUAAGGAAACAAAU